rnacentral:tRNA from 1 species
GGGGCCGUAGCUCAGAUGGAAGAGCGCUAGAAUCGCACUCUAGAGGCCGUGGGUUCGACUCCCAUCGGCUCCACCA